UACGUAGGGGGCGAGCGUUGUCCGGAUUUAUUGGGCGUAAAGAGCGUGUAGGCGGCCAGGUAGGUCCGUUGUGAAAACUCGAGGCUCAACCUCGAGACGUCGAUGGAAACCAUCUGGCUAGAGUCCGGAAGAGGAGAGUGGAAUUCCUGGUGUAGCGGUGAAAUGCGCAGAUAUCAGGAAGAACACCUAUGGCGAAGGCAGCUCUCUGGGACGGUACUGACGCUGAGACGCGAAAGCGUGGGGAGCAAACAGG
rnacentral:rRNA from 1 species